UACAGAGGGGGCAAGCGUUGUUCGGAAUUACUGGGCGUAAAGGGCGCGUAGGCGGCCUGUUAAGUCGAACGUGAAAUCCCCGGGCUCAACCCGGGAACUGCGUCCGAUACUGGCAGGCUUGAAUCCGGGAGAGGGAUGUGGAAUUCCAGGUGUAGCGGUGAAAUGCGUAGAUAUCUGGAGGAACACCGGUGGCGAAGGCGGCAUCCUGGACCAGCACUGACACUGAGGCACGAAAGCGUGGGGAGCAAACAGG
rnacentral:rRNA from 1 species